rnacentral:lncRNA from 1 species
GACCAUCACUCGCCACCGCAGCGGAUCUCCCUCGCAGAACCACCGUUUAGCGCGGCAAUCAGACCUUCAAAAGUUAUCUCUCAAACCCCAUAACCAGUUCACACUCAAUCCGCCCUAAUUUCCGGUCAUCGUCUGUGGUUCAAUCGAGAGAAUGCAUGCUCGACUUUUAUGGUUUUAUCUAAACGAUUGAUAAAGUAUAAUGGCCUAUUCCUACCUGCUCGAGGCAUACCAUUUGAGAGCCCAUUCAACAGCUGA